rnacentral:rRNA from 1 species
UACGUAGGGUGCGAGCGUUGUCCGGAAUUAUUGGGCGUAAAGAGCUUGUAGGCGGUUUGUCGCGUCUGCUGUGAAAAUCCGGGGCUCAACCCCGGACUUGCAGUGGGUACGGGCAGACUGGAGUGUGGUAGGGGAGACUGGAAUUCCUGGUGUAGCGGUGAAAUGCGCAGAUAUCAGGAGGAACACCGGUGGCGAAGGCGGGUCUCUGGGCAAUAACUGACGCUGAGGAGCGAAAGCGUGGGGAGCGAACAGG